GCCCGAAUCCUGACACAGGGAGGUAGUGACAAGAAAUAACAAUACAGGGCUAAUCUAGUCUUGUAAUUGGAAUGAGUACAAUUUACAUCUCUUCACGAGGAUCAAUUGGAGGGCAAGUCUGGUGCCAGCAGCCGCGGUAAUUCCAGCUCCAAUAGCGUAUAUUAAAGUUGUUGCAGUUAGAACGCUCGUAGUCGGAUUUCGGGGCGGGCCGACCGGUCUGCCGAUGGGUAUGCACUGGCCGGCGCGUCCUUCCUCUCGGAGACCGUUCCUACUCUUAACUGAGCGGGAGCGGGAGACGGGACUUUUACUUUGAAAAAAUCAGAGUGUUUCAAGCAGGCAGCUCGCUCUUGCAUGGAUUAGCAUGGGAUAAUGAAAUAGGACUUUGGUGCUAUUUUGUUGGUUUCGAACACCGAAGUAAUGAUGAGAAGGGACAGUCAGGGGCACUCGUAUUCCGCCGAGAGAGGUGAAAUUCUCAGACCAGCGGAAGACGAACCACUGCGAAAGCAUUUGCCAGGGAUGUUUUCACUGAUCAAGAACGAAAGUUAGGGGAUCGAAGACGACCAGAUACCGUCGUAGUCUUAACCAUAAACCAUGCCGACUAGGGAUCGGAGGAUGUUCACAUAUUGACUCCUUCGGCACCUUACGGGAAACUAAAGUCUUUGGGUUCCGGGGGGAGUAUGGUCGCAAGGCUGAAACUUAAAGGAAUUGACGGAAGGGCACCACCAGGUGUGGAGCCUGCGGCUUAAUUUGACUCAACACGGGGAAACUUA
rnacentral:rRNA from 1 species